UCCUCCCCCCCCCCCGGGGACUGAAUCACCCCCAGUUGACAUCAAGCCUCGGCCGCCAAUCAGACUGGCUUUCUCUGCCCACCUGCCCCUCCUCGGCUCCCCAGAACUUCAGCUUGCAUGUCGCUUUGGCUCACCGUGGCUCCAGCUCUGCGUCUGAUGCCAUUCCCAGGACUCCCCUCAAGAGUGUGAACCUGCCCCCCAUGCACCCCCCAGUUAUGAGCUCAGAGUCAUCAUCUGGAACACGGGGGAUGUGGUUCUGGACGCUGUGAACCCGCUCACUGGAGAGAUGUCGAGCCACAGCUGGGUGAAAAGGUCCAGCUGGGUGAAGGGGCUGGAGCACGACAGGCAGGAGACGGCCGUGCACUUCAACUCCCUGACUGGGGAGGGAACUUCAACUGGUGCUUCUCGUUCCGCUGUGACUACCUGCCCACGGAGACGGAGGAGUGGGAGGUGAGCAUCCGGUGCCGCCCAGACCUUCGCGCUGGAGGAGGCGGAGUUCGGGCAGCCUGCGUGCUGGUCCUGCAGGUCUGGGACUAAUACUGCAUCUCCGCCAACGACUUCUUCGGUACUGGAGCCUCCCACCUCACCCUAACUCGACUUCUGCCCUCAUUGCCCUGCCUCCUGGCCCUUGGUUCCUUCUUCUAACGCAGUGGGAUCCUGGAUGUCAGCCCUAGGUCACUAACCUUUGCCGUCUGGCCGAAUUACUGAACUUAGCCAUGAGCACAGUGUCCGCCGUUCCUCCCCAAAGUCCCCCACUCACUCCUCUGGUUUGACCCCACUCAGGUUGCUCCGGACUCUGAGGCCACGGCCUUUGGUGCCUGUUUUAGCAAUCUGGUCCUGCCCUUGACCCUGUUUCACUGGGGGCUGUGGUGAGUGGUUCAUAGCUGCGUAACAACCACCACAUUCUAAUGAUUUCUGGUGCUCUGAUUUACAAUCCCAUGUACUGCCUCCUUCCCCGUGGCCCAAACGGACUUUGAUCUCCUGCCUAACCCAGAGAGCUCUGGACUUGCAGGAUCCCUCGAGCUGCAGCUACCGGACAUGGUGCAGGGCACCGGGGCCAGAGCUCUGUUCUGUGUGGCUGGCCCGUGAUGGGGCUGGGCCCAGGUGCAAUCUGUCCCACUGCUCUCGCUACUUGCGGGGUUGGUGGCCUGUGGUGAAGCUGAAGGAGCCAGAGGACGGGAGCGGGAGCAGCAGGAGGCUCAGGCAGGAAAGAGGUGGAGGAGGAGGAGGAAGGGCCGGCCAGAAGACACAGACAGAGUUCCUCGACCCAGGAGGCAACAUCUACAUCCUCACGGGGAAGGUGGAGGCAGAGUUUGAGCUGCUGACUGUGGAAGAGGCUGAGAAAAGGCCAGUGGGGAAGGGGCGGAAGGAGCCGGAGCCCUUGGAGAAGCCCAAUCACCCAAAACCUCCUUCAACUGAAUUGUGAACCUGCUGAAGACCUUCAUCUUCUUCACCUGGCGCCGGUACUGGCACAUCCUGCUGCUGCUGCUGGCGCUGAUCAUCAUCUUCCUCCUCCUCGCCUUCUACACCAUGCCUGGUCAGAUCAGCCAGGUCAUCUUCCGCCCCCUCCACCAGCCCCCUGGCCCUAACUGACCUUGGACUCUGAUCCGCUAGCGCCUACCCAUCUCCCAUUCCUGGAAGUCCUUCCCAUCAAUAUGAGUUACUUGAGUUCACUUCUUCGUUUGAAUAAACCUUCAUCUGCAUCCACCA